GCCUGAGUGGCUCAGUCGGUUAAGCCUCUGACUUCAGCUCAGGUCAUGAUCUAACGUUUGUGGGUUCGAGCCCCGCAUCAGGCU
rfam:Felis catus isolate Cinnamon breed Abyssinian chromosome C1, whole genome shotgun sequence.